CCGCACCACAACCUCGCCCGCUCCACUUCCCAGCGGACACCGAUCCUCACCCGUCGCCCGCCCCAUCCGCCGCCCGCCGAUCCACUCGGCCUCCACCGCCGCCCGCCGCCCUAAAUCCUCGCCCUCCUCCGCCGCCACCGCUCAGCUUGGCCUCCUCCGCCGCGCGUGAGGAGGUGGAGGAUGAGCGCGGCGUCCCAAAAGGCGGCGAGGCGGAGGCGGUGGAGUAACGAGAUGGCUGCCGGGUCCUGCUUCCUUGCGGUGGGGAGGGUCGAGGUGGAGGCCGGGUUCUGCUUCCUUGCGGCGAGCGCGGGUCUAGGUGGAGGCGGAGGCGGCGAGGAGGGUCGAGGUGGGUGCCGGGUUCUGCUUCCUUGCGGUGCGCGCGGUGACGCCGGCUGCUGCCGCCGAUCCAGCGCUGCUUGCACGGUGGCGCGAGAGACCGCUGCCCACCCCCAGUCGCACUCCACAAACGCACGCCUCUCCCAACUCAGGCCAUCCCCAAACAGCGACCACGACGCCCCACCGCUGGCCCCUUCGCGGCCACACUCCCCACGACGCCUGCCGGUUCUCCGCCGCCUCGCCUAGGCCGUCUUGGAACCGCCGCCGUCGCAGCUACAGUCAGGUGAUAGUUAAGAAGAACAUAGUAUGUGAUGGUCCAAUAAGGAAGAAAUGUAAGUCGACAGUGCUGCUGAUGGGUGGCAUUGAUAGUCCCAACGCCUUUGCUCUUGGAUCAUUAUUCAAGCUUAUUUUUUCCUACAACAAGAAAGAGGAUGCUGAAGGAGGUAUUGCAACUAGAAAGGAGAUUUCAGGAUAGAAAGGCAGCUUUGGAGAGGGGUCGCAAAGAUCAAGGCUAUUGUGUCAAGUACUGUGCUCAAAACGUCCAUCGGGUGCAUCCAUCUCGCCCAGUUCAUCACCGACCACCAAGCGAUUUACAUCCACUGCGAUCAUGGAUGACCCCGUGAGACAUUGUCGCCGUCCUAUUCUUCCAGAUACAAUGGGUUGAUUAAUACGGUAUUUUGAUAUGCUAAUCAUGCUUUCGUUUCACUAAAUUCCCAGAACAAUACUACUUACUAUCUACUAAUACUGUUCUCUCAACUGCAAAAAUCAGAAUUAUCGCAACAUUUUGGUGAUCUAUAUUCUAGCUUUUAGUAUAUGGUUUGUUUUAGAAGCAGAUAAGUGGUGAAGGGUCGUAUAUAGGAAUACUUGUUAUGCACGUCUAUCUACACUCUUCUCAGCCUGGAAAUCAUUACGUGCUUGCUGACUUGUUUUGCUCACAUUGCCGCCGAAACUGUGAGCGGUCCUUGCAUGUCUUGUGUAUUCACUGAAAGCAUCUAAAAUAUGGAGUUGCAGCAUGGCUACUAGCUGCUACUUUCAUGUUAUCAGAAGAAGGCCAAAGCUCUCAUUUUCUAGAUAUGUCGAGUUUAAAUAUGAAGGAUAUUUUAAGAACGGAAUUUUCAGCAUCAUAUAUCUAUAGCAAUUGUGUUCUGAAACGGAAUUGUUGGCUCCUAAUAAUAGUGUACUGAAUUCUCUCAAGUCCUUCCAGCUUUAGGGACUUCUCAAUUGGAUCUGCACAACCCAACAAAAUAAAUAUGCAUAGUGUCUGCGACACUUUCUUCCGAUCAUCAUGAAGGUAGUUCUAGGAGUAAAAAAGUAUGUCAUACUGUUUUUUCAGUACAAGCCAGAGACUGUCGAGAAAGAAAGGCUAGGACAGGUAAUACUUGUUUUUACAGUACUUGCGCAAAAAGUAUGUGAUGCUGUUUUGUUCUAGAUGAUUUUGAUGAAUUUUACAACCUUAUUUUCAGUCGUAUACCCCAAGAAAUGGUCUGCUUUCAUGGGGCUUAUUUAAUCCAAGAAAGAAAUGUGAGUAGUAGCGAAUCAGACAUGAAAAGUUUCAGAGAACUAUUAAAACUCCGGUCAGUUUUGUCAGGAUCUUGUGACCCAGUUCUAGGACUC